UACAGAGGUGCCGAGCGUUAGGCGGAAUCACUGGGCUUAAAGCGUGUGUAGGUGGAUGCCUAAGUACCUUGUGAAAUCCCACGGCUUAACCGUGGAAUUGCUGGGUAUACUGGGUGCCUUGAGCCACUCAGGGGCUACCGGAACAAAUGGUGGAGCGGUGAAAUGCGUAGAUAUCAUUUGGAACGCCAAUGGUGAAAACAGGUAGCUGGGGGUGUGCUGACACUGAGACACGAAAGCCAGGGGAGCAAACGGG
rnacentral:rRNA from 1 species